AAGAAAUCAACCGAGAUUCCCCCAGUAGCGGCGAGCGAACGGGGAGCAGCCCAGAGCCUGAAUCAGUGUGUGUGUUAGUGGAAGCGUCUGGAAAGGCGUGCGAUACAGGGUGACAGCCCCGUACACAAAAAUGCACAUAUUGUGAGCUCGAUGAGUAGGGCGGGACACGUGGUAUCCUGUCUGAAUAUGGGGGGACCAUCCUCCAAGGCUAAAUACUCCUGACUGACCGAUAGUGAACCAGUACCGUGAGGGAAAGGCGAAAAGAACCCCGGCGAGGGGAGUGAAAAAGAACCUGAAACCGUGUACGUACAAGCAGUGGGAGCACGCUUAGGCGUGUGACUGCGUACCUUUUGUAUAAUGGGUCAGCGACUUAUAUUCUGUAGCAAGGUUAACCGAAUAGGGGAGCCGAAGGGAAACCGAGUCUUAACUGGGCGUUAAGUUGCAGGGUAUAGACCCGAAACCCGGUGAUCUAGCCAUGGGCAGGUUGAAGGUUGGGUAACACUAACUGGAGGACCGAACCGACUAAUGUUGAAAAAUUAGCGGAUGACUUGUGGCUGGGGGUGAAAGGCCAAUCAAACCGGGAGAUAGCUGGUUCUCCCCGAAAGCUAUUUAGGUAGCGCCUCGUGAAUUCAUCUCCGGGGGUAGAGCACUGUUUCGGCAAGGGGGUCAUCCCGACUUACCAACCCGAUGCAAACUGCGAAUACCGGAGAAUGUUAUCACGGGAGACACACGGCGGGUGCUAACGUCCGUCGUGAAGAGGGAAACAACCCAGACCGCCAGCUAAGGUCCCAAAGUCAUGGUUAAGUGGGAAACGAUGUGGGAAGGCCCAGACAGCCAGGAUGUUGGCUUAGAAGCAGCCAUCAUUUAAAGAAAGCGUAAUAGCUCACUGGUCGAGUCGGCCUGCGCGGAAGAUGUAACGGGGCUAAACCAUGCACCGAAGCUGCGGCAGCGACACUAUGUGUUGUUGGGUAGGGGAGCGUUCUGUAAACCUGUGAAGGUGUACUGUGAGGUAUGCUGGAGGUAUCAGAAGUGCGAAUGCUGACAUAAGUAACGAUAAAGCGGGUGAAAAGCCCGCUCGCCGGAAGACCAAGGGUUCCUGUCCAACGUUAAUCGGGGCAGGGUGAGUCGACCCCUAAGGCGAGGCCGAAAGGCGUAGUCGAUGGGAAACAGGUUAAUAUUCCUGUACUUGGUGUUACUGCGAAGGGGGGACGGAGAAGGCUAUGUUGGCCGGGCGACGGUUGUCCCGGUUUAAGCGUGUAGGCUGGUUUUCCAGGCAAAUCCGGAAAACUAAGGCUGAGGCGUGAUGACGAGGCACUACGGUGCUGAAGCAACAAAUGCCCUGCUUCCAGGAAAAGCCUCUAAGCAUCAGGUAACAUCAAAUCGUACCCCAAACCGACACAGGUGGUCAGGUAGAGAAUACCAAGGCGCUUGAGAGAACUCGGGUGAAGGAACUAGGCAAAAUGGUGCCGUAACUUCGGGAGAAGGCACGCUGAUAUGUAGGUGAAGUCCCUCGCGGAUGGAGCUGAAAUCAGUCGAAGAUACCAGCUGGCUGCAACUGUUUAUUAAAAACACAGCACUGUGCAAACACGAAAGUGGACGUAUACGGUGUGACGCCUGCCCGGUGCCGGAAGGUUAAUUGAUGGGGUCAGCGCAAGCGAAGCUCUUGAUCGAAGCCCCGGUAAACGGCGGCCGUAACUAUAACGGUCCUAAGGUAGCGAAAUUCCUUGUCGGGUAAGUUCCGACCUGCACGAAUGGCGUAAUGAUGGCCAGGCUGUCUCCACCCGAGACUCAGUGAAAUUGAACUCGCUGUGAAGAUGCAGUGUACCCGCGGCAAGACGGAAAGACCCCGUGAACCUUUACUAUAGCUUGACACUGAACAUUGAGCCUUGAUGUGUAGGAUAGGUGGGAGGCUUUGAAGUGUGGACGCCAGUCUGCAUGGAGCCGACCUUGAAAUACCACCCUUUAAUGUUUGAUGUUCUAACGUUGACCCGUAAUCCGGGUUGCGGACAGUGUCUGGUGGGUAGUUUGACUGGGGCGGUCUCCUCCUAAAGAGUAACGGAGGAGCACGAAGGUUGGCUAAUCCUGGUCGGACAUCAGGAGGUUAGUGCAAUGGCAUAAGCCAGCUUGACUGCGAGCGUGACGGCGCGAGCAGGUGCGAAAGCAGGUCAUAGUGAUCCGGUGGUUCUGAAUGGAAGGGCCAUCGCUCAACGGAUAAAAGGUACUCCGGGGAUAACAGGCUGAUACCGCCCAAGAGUUCAUAUCGACGGCGGUGUUUGGCACCUCGAUGUCGGCUCAUCACAUCCUGGGGCUGAAGUAGGUCCCAAGGGUAUGGCUGUUCGCCAUUUAAAGUGGUACGCGAGCUGGGUUUAGAACGUCGUGAGACAGUUCGGUCCCUAUCUGCCGUGGGCGCUGGAGAACUGAGGGGGGCUGCUCCUAGUACGAGAGGACCGGAGUGGACGCAUCACUGGUGUUCGGGUUGUCAUGCCAAUGGCACUGCCCGGUAGCUAAAUGCGGAAGAGAUAAGUGCUGAAAGCAUCUAAGCACGAAACUUGCCCCGAGAUGAGUUCUCCCUGACUCCUUGAGAGUCCUGAAGGAACGUUGAAGACGACGACGUUGAUAGGCCGGGUGUGUAAGCGCAGCGAUGCGUUGAGCUAACCGGUACUAAUGAACCGUGAGGCUUAACC
rnacentral:rRNA from 1 species